rnacentral:rRNA from 1 species
GACGAACACUGGCGGCGUGCCUAAUACAUGCAAGUAGAACGCUGAAGGAGGAGCUUGCUUCUCUGGAUGAGUUGCGAACGGGUGAGUAACGCGUAGGUAACCUGCCUGGUAGCGGGGGAUAACUAUUGGAAACGAUAGCUAAUACCGCAUAAUAGUAGAUGUUGCAUGACAUUUGCUUAAAAGGUGCAAUUGCAUCACUACCAGAUGGGCCUGCGUUGUAUUAGCUAGUUGGUGGGGUAACGGCUCACCAAGGCGACGAUACAUAGCCGACCUGAGAGGGUGUUCGGCCACACUGGGACGGAGACACGGCCCAGACUCCUACGGGAGGCACAAGUAGGGAAUCUUCGGCAAUGGCCGGAAGUCUAACCGAGCAACGCCGGGGGAGUGAAGAAGGUUUUCGGAUCGUAAAGCCUUUUUUUAAGGGAAGAACGGGUGUGGGGGGGGAAAGUUCACACUGGGGCGGUUUUUUACCAAAAAGGGACGGCUAAUUACGU